GAACGCUGGCGGCGUGCUUAACACAUGCAAGUCGAACGGAAAGGCCCUGCUUUUGUGGGGUGCUCGAGUGGCGAACGGGUGAGUAACACGGGAGUAACCUGCCCUUGACUUUGGGAUAACUUCAGGAAACUGGGGCUAAUACCGGAUAGGCGCUCCUGCUGCAUGGGGGGGGGUGGAAAGUUUCGGCGGUUGGGGAUGGACUCGCGGCUUAUCAGCUUGUUGGUGGGGUAGUGGCUUACCAAGGCUUUGACGGGUAGCCGGCCUGAGAGGGUGACCGGCCACAUUGGGACUGAGAUACGGCCCAGACUCCUACGGGAGGCAGCAGUGGGGAAUAUUGCACAAUGGGCGGAAGCCUGAUGCAGCAACGCCGCGUGCGGGAUGACGGCCUUCGGGUUGUAAACCGCUUUCGCCUGUGACGAAGCGUGAGUGACGGUAAUGGGUAAAGAAGCACCGGCUAACUACGUG
rnacentral:rRNA from 1 species